GUGAAUCAUCGAAUUUUUGAACGCAAAUUGCACUCUCCGCUAAUAGUAUGCCUGUCUGAGGUUCAGCCUAUAAAAAAUCGACAUCGUUGCUUUGGCGCUGGGGCGUGCGUGUGAAAGUGGGUCAUCUUAAAUCUUUUGGUUUUAAGCGACGUAAAAUUUUCUGUUUUAUUCCAUGAACUUUUCUAAGAGUGAUGUCUUUACACGUUUAAUGUAUCUAUUUUGAUUAGACGUUGCCAUCAUAUCGGAUCGCGCCCAUAAUCUUGCAUUAACUUACCUC
rnacentral:misc_RNA from 1 species